UUCUAUAUUGCCACUCUCAAGAUGGCGUCACGGAAGUGAUACUAAAGCGGAACGCAGUCGCAUGUUUGGGAAGUGAACUUAGUAUAAACCUGCCUCUUGCAAAAUGGCGCUCCCCAGGCAUUUAUGGGCUAUUGUAACCGGAGUUUUGUGGUACAUUUUUUCUUUUCGCUACGUGACGGGAGAUGACGGGAUCGUAAAAUGCGAUGAGCUUCGUUUGGGACAGUUCAUAUGUGUGGAUCCUGAAAUAAAUCCUGCCACACAGGAGCCCGUAAAUUGUUCAAACUACACAGCUGAUGCUCCUUGCUUUCCAGCACCUAAUAUUACUUGUAAAGUGUAUGGUGGAAAUGUGACUACAUUCACAGGGAAAGAAAUAGGAUUUUACCGACCAUUCCCAUGCCGUAAUGUUAAUGGAUAUUCCUACAAAGUUGCUGUUGCUCUGUCUUUGUUUCUUGGAUGGUUGGGAGCAGACAGAUUUUAUCUAGGGUAUCCAGCUCUAGGAAUGCUGAAAUUUUGCACAGUGGGUUUCUGUGGAAUCGGCAGCUUACUUGACUUUAUCCUCAUUUCCAUGCAGGUGGGUUGCAAGUAUUGUUGGACCUUCUGACGGAUCAAGUUAUAUUAUAGAUUACUACGGUGCUAGGCUUGUCCAUCUGAGCAUUAACAAUGAGACCUACAGAAAGAUACCAUCAAACCCAUAAUUAUUAGAAUCUCUCAUGGUACCUAUUAGAACAACCUAUUAGAACAAUGCAAGUGGAUGGGCCAUCCCUUGCAAAUGAUACGGAGACUCAAACAUCUGUAAAGAAGGGGGACACAACUGAUUAAUUUAUGCUCACUUUAAAAAAGGGCCAAGUUAAACUAUGCAACAAUUAUGUCAUAUCACGUAACACUGUAAAUUCCAAGUCUGGUUUUGAAUGCACAAAAACCUGAAAAUAUGUAAAACUAAGGAUUUGGUCUGAUACAUAAACAAAUGUUUUUGUAAAUAAAUGUACACAUUUAUAAUGCUUGUAAAAGGCACUGAAGUGGAUGCAGAUAGUUUAAUAUUUGUCAUAAUCAACAGGUCUUCUGUAAAGUAUUUCUUGUUUCACUCAGAUUUUACACUUCUUAUUUUAUAUUGCCUCCCCUUCCUAGGGGCUGACAUGUUGCACUUUGGGCAAUUUUCCUCUCUUUCUUCAGUUUCUCGGCACGGCUACUGUUUAAAUGAAAUUCAUACUGCACAAGUCUGUGCACUGGAUAGGUUUGCUGGAAGAGACCUCUGAGCAUUAUCCAGUAUCCAAGUAUUAGUAUGAAGGAUUAGUAACACCAAAAAAUUUAAAGUGUUUUUAAGUGAUUAAAAUACAGGUGUAUAUUGCUGUGCACUAGUACAAAAUGUAUGCUUGCUUCAGAAAGGCUGUACUUUAUAUAAUUAGGUUAAGUUGACCGUGCUAAAUGGCACAGGUUACAUAGUAGAUAACAUAAGCUCUGUAGGAUCUGUAGGAUCUCAUUGUAUUCUACAGAGCUUAUUUUUUGUAUGCUAUGUAACAUUGCCGUUUCUGCUUUGAAUGGCUGCCGCCAUGACUACACAGCAGUGUAUUGAUGGAAACUAUAGUAUUAUGCACUUUCACCAGUUAAGGGCAACAGUAUUCUCGAAGGGGUGGGUUGGGACCUCAACUAACAAGGUAUAUUUGCCCUAAACCCCUUGUGAGUUCCUUAACUUAGCCGAAGGGUUCAAGCCCUUAUGUAUUUACAAAAGGUUGUGCUGUUGCAGUCUAUGUUGAACACCUCCACCUGAGGCAAGAAAAUGUCCUGCUUAAUCACAUAUAGGCAAUGCAGUCUUUUGUCUGAUUUCACACAGCACAUUUUCUCCUCCAUUGUAAAUAAAAGCUCCAGUCCCACCUGCUGCUGCCCCAUGUGUUUAAUAACAGUAAUGAAUGUGAUCAGCCUGUCACUGUGCAAGCAGAGGACAUUUCAGUCAGAAAAUAGGCCAUCCCUCUUCUGCCUCUUGCCCCACACGUUUUUUUGGCAAUCUCAGUCCUUUUGGGAUCUGCAAAUCGGUUUCAGUCUUAUUUGUAAAUAAUAUAUGUUAAAUAUACUAAGAAGAAAUGUUCUAAUACACCAGUAAACCAUGUCAUUUUACUUUACAAUUUAUGAAAAGAAAUUAAAUGAAACCCUUACUACAGUAAAUAAAGGUAGGUUUUUUUCCUGUAAGCAAUGACAAAGCUAGUAAAUUAUUCUGUGAUCUUAAAUGUAGUCAUGCAUUAUUCCAACAACUAUAUUGCUUUGUAAUCUUGUAAAUAGAACCACUCUUACAUAACGUUUUACUUUAUACUAUAUAGUAAUGGUCCAGAAAAUAUAAUUUAUCUGUCUUUUGUUUUCAAUACAUGUAAAUUGAAUAGUUUUCAGAAAGAUGAACAAUGUGGUUUAGUACUCAAGCUGCUUUUCAGACUUCAUAAAAUUCACAAAUCCAGGCAAGCAUAUAGGACACGCAGAUGUCUGAGGUAUUUUGUCGUAAUUCUUUAGAUGAUUCAUCCAUUCAGUAUUGAUCAUAUUUAAACUAUCCUUAGAAAGAAAACAUCUUCCAAUAGUUUUGUUUUUUUUUCUUUAGAAUUCAGAUUUUUUUUACUUCAUACAAAUUUUUUUUUUACCAAAAUCUGAUUUAUUCUCCAGUGAGUAUAUAGUCAUUACUUAAAGGAGAUGGAAAGGCAAUUAGUUAGUUGUUUUCUUUUUCCUGAGACCACAGACUCCACUGGCCCAGAGUACUACUGUAGGCGAGGGCACGUCUGCUUUUCACAUCGUACAGUGCACUUUAGAAACAAGGGAUCUCUAGGACAUAGAAGUUAAUGGGGAAGUGACGUUCCUACAGUAGUACCUCAGGCCAGUGCCAUUUUUAACAGGAGCCCAAGGUCUCAGGUUAGUUAUAAUCAAUGGGGAUGUCUACAGUCUCUGUUAUGCCUUUUCUUCUCCUUUAACACUGGUGUAUAAGAAAGGUACAAAUUGUGCUAAACAUAAUACCCACUAGUAGUACCAAAUAAUACCCACCAGAAGUUCCAAAUUAUCAGAUUGCAAAAAAAAAAAUACAAAAUAAAAUGGGCAGCUACAAAUUGUUACAUUGUUGUACUAAUCAUAUUUAAAGUUAAUUCAAACAUGAACUAUGGCUGCAAGUUACUUGUCAAUGGCUUUUAAAUUUCAGUACCAUGUCUGUAGUUAUUGGGCCCUAAAACAAGAUCCUUCCCAGGUACCUUUGGAAAGAUUUCCCUGAGUUAUUAACAUUUUACUGUUAAAUAAUGAUGUUAUUAUGCCCAAACGGACAUGGCCUGGACAUCCCUACUGUAAAGGCAAUUAACCUCACAGCCAAGAUAGUGUUUAAUGGAUUGACACAUUUAUUUGAAGUAACAUUUCUUUGUUAACAUUAAUUCCAGUGUAUAUACUUGUUAGCUUUAAUGGGAUGUAAUUUGUAGAUAUAAACUUGCAUUGUAUAUUUGUAUUUAUUUCAUAAAGUAAUUUACUUCUGUAAAAGUUGAGAAAUGUUUUUGGAAGAAAAUUGUCAUUAAAUUAUUCAACAAUUUAUUUU